UACGUAGGGAGCGAGCGUUGUCCGGAAUCAUUGGGCGUAAAGAGCAUGUAGGUGGAUCAAUUUAGUCUGCUGUGAAAAGUCAAAAGGGCUCAACCUUUUUGAAAAAGCCGGUGGAUACUGUUGGUCUAGAGUACGGAAAGAGGCGAGUGGAAAUUCCUGGUGUAGCGGGUGGAAAUGCGCAGAUAUCAGGAGGAACACCAAUAGCGAAAGGGCAGCUCGCU
rnacentral:rRNA from 1 species